AUGAACAGAGGUAUGAAGGAGUCUGAAUCUAGAAUGGACGUCCAACCAGUCUGUGCUUCCCUUUACGCCCCUGUGAUUACCAUCAUCACUGUCCAUGAGCCUGCCGCUUCAACAACCGCAGAUCACCUCCGCAAAGAGCAUCACUUUUUUCGUCAGAGCCCAUGCCUUCACUCUUACCAUAGCCAUGCCCUCCGUAUAUCCAUCAUAGCCGCCGGUGAGUUUCCUUUGUUCCUAAUAUCAUGA